ensembl:snRNA U1 U1 spliceosomal RNA
AUACUUACCUGGCAGGGGCAAUACCAUGAUCAAGAAGGUGAGGUCAUUGCACUCAGGCUGUGCUGACCUUUGCGAAUUCUCCAGAUGUGGGAAUCUCGACUGCAUAAUUUCUGCUAGUGGGGGACUGCGUUCGCACUCUCCCCUG